rnacentral:tRNA from 3 species
GUUAUAGUAGUUUAUUAAAACCUUGGUCUUGUAAACCAAAAUUAGAUAUUAAUCUUUAUAACU